UACCCGAAUAGAAAUUGUAACGUAGAAAACAUUAGCAUACAUCUAUAAAACCUUAACAUUUAAUGUAUAUUGUUGUUCUGCUAAUGUACUCAGACUUCAAUGAAACAUCCAAGUACACAGUAAUACAUAAGAUUUACAUGUAACAUUGAAAUCAAACUUCAAUGUGAUGUUGAAUUUAACAUCCUAAAACAUCCAAAAACAAACUGUUCUAAUGUUACAUCAAAAUCAAAUGUUAUAUUGAUGUCAACUGUUGUUCGCUUGAUACAUCAGACUACAUCUAAUGACAGAAAAAUGUCAUGUAACAUUAGAAUUCAACAUCAUAUUGAUGUCAUGAAUUGCUCACUUGAAACAUCAGAAUACCUAUCACAGCAUUAGAAUGGAAUGUUACAUCAGAAUUAAAUGUCAUGUUGUUGUUGAGUGUUGCUCACUUGAAACAUCAAAAUACAUUUAACGACAGAUGAUUGUGAUGUUACAUUAGAGUUAAACAUCAUAUUGAUGUCGACUGUUGCCCACAUGGAACAUCAGAAAACAUGUAACGACACUAGAAUAAAACGUUACAUUAGAAUUAUACUUCAUACUAAUGUCAAGAAUUCCCCACUCGAAAUCUUGGAACAUCAGCAUACAUCAAACGACAGAUGAAAGUAAUGUUACAUUAGAAUUAAACAUCACAUUGAUUUCUCUAUCAUCAAAAUGGAUUCAGCUUAAUAAUUUGACGUUUGAGCGGUGCCGUGUUUACAGAAAAUGAACUUUUCAUUAGCCAGCUUAAUAACAUGACGCCGCUCAAAAGUCAAACAAAUGAAAACGUGCAUUUGUGCAACGCUUUUUUCUUGUCGUUUGCUCCGUUUGUUCGCGCUGUCGUCGGUUUGUGUACGUGUCAUCUUUCCCCGUGUGGAUAGGUAUGGAUCCGCAACAGCUUGUGUGUGAAUCGCGGUGAAGAUGCCAGUCAGAGUCAGAGUCAAGACGCCGCAUUUUUCGUGUCGUUUUCUCGCUUGGGUCGGUCGGAUGCAGCAAAUCGAUGCUGCUUUCAGUGUUUUUGUUAUUUUUGUUUUGUGUUAUUUUGUUUUUCUUUUGCAAUUCGCCACGUCGGCGAUCCGGGAGUGAGUGCAAAAAAGGAGCUGCUUCGGUUGGUUCCUUUGUGUCGGUCGGUCGGAUGCAGCAAAUCGAUGCUGUUUUCAGUGAUUCCUUCGCAAUUCGCCGCGUUGUCGAUCCGGGAGUGAGUGCGAAAGACGGAGCUGCUGCUUCAGUUGGGUGCGGUGGGUCGGUCGGUCGGGUGCAGCAAAUCGAUGCUGCUUCUAGUGAUUCUUUUGUUUUUGUUUUGCAAUUCGUCGAUCCGGGAAGGAUUUUGUUUUCAUUCGUCGCGUCGUGGAUGUGAAGUGAAUAAAUAUAGGAAUCAGUUUUGUUCGUGUUUCGUUCGACGGCGAAAGACCCAGACAAAUGCUGUUGCAGAGAUGGACGACACAUAAAUGGGUAAGCUCGUUCUAAGUUAUUGCUUUAUUGUGAAAAUUUAUAGUAAAUUCAUUAAAACUUAGUUUAAAACACAUACAUAAUUCUGCAAUAAUCCUGCAUUUUUUAUCGUUCUAAGCACACUUUGUUUGGUCCGUCACUUUGAGUAACGGCGUUGACUCUAAAUUAACGGUUUCUAUGUAGAGAAGUGCUUCAGGAGUUCCCAGGCAAUUUCUUCCAAAAGUCCCUGAGAAUUUCUUUUUGAGUUUCUAAGUAAUUUCACCAGGAUAUCCUCAGGAACUCGUUUAGGAGUACCGCGAGAAUUUGACACAUUCUACGCACUUCUACGCCAAGGGUGUGAAACUUCAAAGUGCUUGUUUUACCCCAAGCUUUCCAGCAUAUGAAAAAGGGUUGAUUCAGUCUUAGGAAAACCAUUUGUUUUACUUAAAAUUUAACUGGUAACGUAUUUAAAUAGUUAGGUGAAGUAAUAGCAUUUUAUGUAAGAAAAAUGAAUUUUUUCAUUGAUAAGUUUCAAAUAUGUCUGCUUGCGUAUGAAAGUUCAAAAACAUUAUACCUAUUUUUGUAAAUAUACACCCAAAAGCAACUUUUCAUAAAAAUAGAUUUAGAUAUGUUUUAAGCACUUUUUGCAAUAGCCGCAAUUUAAUGGUGUCCUGUUACGAAAAUAGCACAUUUGUUGUAAUAACUAAUUUAUUACGAACUUUAGAAAAAUGAUUUUCAGGAUUCUCUUAGUACUCGUGGAGACCUUUGUAGUUUGUAGUUUGUAGUUUGUAGCAACUGAUAUGCCCGCUCUGGAGCACCUGAAAUAAGUUCCGCGGGGGCCUCUCAUACACAAUAACACACAAAAUAAUCACUUUUAGCUAUUUGGCAAAACAGACACUCCCCCACCCCCUGACCCCAGUACAAUCUGGAAUAUCUCCGGAAUGGUUCGGGAUAUUACAUGGCCAUUUGAGUGUAAUAAACUUUCACCAAUUUAUGAUCAAUUGAGGGCGACUUCAAAAAAAUCGGAUGAAAAUUGACGAAAUACCAGCAUUUUGAAAAUGAGUUGUCGGGGGUCGGGUAUGUGAAGGGUAGUCAUAUCGAUCAGCUAUUCUACGCAAAUUGAUUUCGGCUGGAGAAAACGUUGAUUAUACCAGAACAUUCCUAAACAUAUUUUGAAGAUUUAGAGUGAUUAAAACCCACUUAUAAAACUUUUGACAGAGAUAAAGGAUAUUUUGAUGUUUGUAUCAGACUUUGAGGCCUGAGUAUUUAGGAAAACAAUUCUAAUUUAAAUUCUCUAGAUAAGGGCCCAUAUAGCCGAGGCGGUAAACGCACGGGUAUUCAGCAUGACCAUGCUGAGGGUGACGGGUUCGAUUCCCGGUCGGUCCAGGAUCUUUUCGUAAAGGAAAUUUCCUUGACUUCCUUGGGCAUAGAGUAUCUUCGUGCCUGCCACACGAUAUACACAUGCAAAAUGGUGAUUGGCAGAGGAAGCUCUCAGUUAAUAACUGUGGAAGUGCUCAUAGAACACUAAGCUGAGAAGCAGGCUUUGUCCCAGUGAGGACGUUACGCCAAGAAGAAGAAGAAGAUAAGGGAAUACUGUGCUCCACGAUUAGAUCAAUUACUACAUUACUUUCGCUGCGUUUUCUAGAAAUCGUAAUCGUUAAUCGUUAGUCGUAAGAUUUGAUCUCGGUAAUUCAAAUUAACGAACCUGGCCGGUAAAACAUUCAGAAAUUCUCCGAAAUUUUACAUUUUGUUUUGCCACUGUAAUCGGCAAAAGGUUUGCUUUGCCGAGAUUCGGAAAAAGUGCAUCUGUCAAACUGUCAUAAAACACGUGUCAUCAGUGAGGGAAAUUUUAGUGGAAAGAAUUUUGAUCACGACUAGUAAGUACCUACGGUAAGUUUUUAAGUAAAAUUCAUCAUGUUCCGCUUUCUUUUUCAGCUGUAAACAUCAAUCCACGUCGAAUCAGAUUGUUUGAGGCAUCAUAUCAAUGGAAGUAGUGAUUUUACUUGCGCACGGCUUGAACGUUUGUUCCCGCACGGUAUGCCGCAAGUGCGACCGGAAUCCAGGACGGAAUUAGGAAAAUAUACAUCUUUUAAGUGUACCAUGUACGAUGAACAUAAUGUCAGAAGUAGGUUCAGUGCUAAGUAGGUAGAGGUGUAGACAAUAGGUGUAUUGAUGAGAAGUUGUUAUUAACUAUUCGAAUUUCUUUUGUUGUCCAAUAGAUUGUGUAAAAUGCUACAAAUUUGAUCAAGCACGCCGUAAAA